rnacentral:rRNA from 1 species
UGGGGAAUAUUGGACAAUGGGGGAAACCCUGAUCCAGCCAUGCCGCGUGUGUGAAGAAGGCCUUCGGGUUGUAAAGCACUUUCAGUGGGGAGGAAAGGUUGAUGGUUAAUACCUAUCAGCUGUGACGUUACCCACAGAAGAAGCACCGGCUAACUCCGUGCCAGCAGCCGCGGUAAUACGGAGGGUGCAAGCGUUAAUCGGAAUUACUGGGCGUAAAGCGUGCGCAGGCGGUCUGUUAAGCGAGAUGUGAAAGCCCCGGGCUCAACCUGGGAACUGCAUUUCGAACUGGCAGACUAGAGUCUUGUAGAGGGGGGUAGAAUUCCAGGUGUAGCGGUGAAAUGCGUAGAGAUCUGGAGGAAUACCGGUGGCGAAGGCGGCCCCCUGGACAAAGACUGACGCUCAGGCACGAAAGCGUGGGGAGCAAACAGG